CAAUGUACAUGCGUGUUGAAACCGCGUGGAAAUAUUGUCAAAGUGAUAAACGAUGGAAAAAUAAAACAAAUUAAUAUUACAUGCUGAAGUUACAAUACUUCUACAUUUUUGAAGACGGUUAUUGAUUUACAGGAAGUCUAAUACUUAGUUCAAGUCAAUAUUUUCAAUUUAAGUUACAAAAAUAUUGAAUGUAAGAAAAUGACAAUUUUUAAGAAAUCUGAAAGGAUCCUGGUCGCCCUCGACGAAAGUGGUUUGAUGUCAUAAAGGAUUGGACUGGACUUAGAUACAACCAACUGAAAAUAGCGGCCCAAAGCCGCGAGGGAUUCCGUAUGCUGACCUCCAAACUUCAAUUCGAAGAUGGCACCCCAGGUUGAUGAUGAUGAUGAAAGGAUCAUUUGUUCACACAGAGUCAAUAUUGUACUUCUCCGUUAUAAUGUUCGUGAGCAGUGACCAGACCUCGGGCCGGGUCGCAACCCGGGCGACCUGCCGGGGCGGGGAGAGUAUUGAUUUCCAGCCUCCAGGGCGCAAGACACGACCACUCACAGGAUGAUAGUCCCCUGUUUGCACACAUCAAAGCGCCUCAUUAGUGGACCCGGCCUUUGAAGCGAACCCGAGUAAUCACGCAAGUGCUGUUUCUGACUGAGGUUAUGUUUGUGUAGUCGCUGUUGCUUUAAUUUGCACAGCAAAUAUUGAAAUAUGUUCGCAAAAAGAGAGUAAGUUCCGCUAGACUUAUCCCACACUAGCUCUUGCCCGCGGUUUCACCCGCGUGUAUUUAUCUGCGAAAGCGGUCAAACAGACGAUUUUCAUACAAACACUCACGUCCCCAACAUUUGGGAAUUGAUUUUUAGAAAAAAAAUAGCCUAUGUUUGAACGGGGGUCUUUAAUUAUAUGCGUACCAAAUUUCAUCAAAAUUGGUCCAGCGAUUUAGCCGUGAAAGCAUAACAGACACACAGAUAGACAGACGACAGACUUUCGCAUUUACAAUAUUAGUAUAUGGAUUAUUUAAAUAAAUAUACAUAAAUAAUUAUUCAAAAUUUGACUACAGACGUAGACUGACUUCACAUCACCUAAGCUAGCUAUGCACAUGUGCUAUCGCCAACAGUUUUGAGUGCAAUGGGGAGCUGCAUGUGAGCAAACCUGUCUAUGAUUACGACUGGAUAAACUUUCACGUUCUCAAAUUUUUG